rnacentral:rRNA from 1 species
GAUGAACGCUGGCGGCGUGCCUAAUACAUGCAAGUCGAGCGAAUGGAUUAAGAGCUUGCUCUUAUGAAGUUAGCGGCGGACGGGUGAGUAACACGUGGGUAACCUGCCCAUAAGACUGGGAUAACUCCGGGAAACCGGGGCUAAUACCGGAUAACAUUUUGAACCGCAUGGUUCGAAAUUGAAAGGCGGCUUCGGCUGUCACUUAUGGAUGGACCGCGUCGCAUUAGCGAGUUGGUGAGGUAACGGCUCAUCAAGGCAACGAUGCGUAGCCGACCUGAGAGGGUGAUCGGCCACACUGGGACUGAGACACGGCCCAGACUCCUACGGGAGGCAGGAGUAGGGAAUCUUCCGCAAUGGACGAAAGUCUGACGGAGCAACGCCGCGUGAGUGAUGAAGGCUUUCGGGUCGUAAAACUCUGUUGUUAGGGAAGAACAAGUGCUAGUUGAAUAAGCUGGCACCUUGACGGUACCUAACCAGAAAGCCACGGCUAACUACGUGCCAGCAGCCGCGGUAA